AGUGGCGGACGGGUGAGUAACGCGUGAGAAUCUGCCUUGGGGUCGGGGACAACCACUGGAAACGGUGGCUAAUACCGGAUAAGCCGAUUGGUGAAAGAUUUAUUGCCCGAAGAGGAGCUCGCGUCUGAUUAGCUAGUUGGUGAGGUAAGAGCUCACCAAGGCAGCGAUCAGUAGCUGGUCUGAGAGGACGAUCAGCCACACUGGGACUGAGACACGGCCCAGACUCCUACGGGAGGCAGCAGUGGGGAAUUUUCCGCAAUGGGCGAAAGCCUGACGGAGCAAGACCGCGUGAGGGAGGAAGGCUCUUGGGUUGUAAACCUCUUUUCUCAGGGAAGAAGCUCUGACGGUACCUGAGGAAUCAGCCUCGGCUAACUCCGUGCCAGCAGCCGCGGUAAUACGGAGGAGGCAAGCGUUAUCCGGAAUUAUUGGGCGUAAAGCGUCCGCAGGUGGCGAUUCAAGUCUGCUGUCAAAGCACCGGGCUUAACUCCGUAAAGGCAGUGGAAACUGAAUAGCUAGAGUGCCGUAGGGGUAGAGGGAAUUCCCGGUGUAGCGGUGAAAUGCGUAGAGAUCGGGAAGAACAUCGGUGGCGAAAGCGCUCUACUGGACGGCAACUGACACUCAGGGACGAAAGCUAGGGGAGCGAAUGGGAUUAGAUACCCC
rnacentral:rRNA from 1 species